rnacentral:misc_RNA from 1 species
GCAAACUUGGUCAUUUAGAGGAAGUAAAAGUCGUAACAAGGUUUCCGUAGGUGAACCUGCGGAAGGAUCAUUAACGUGUUCAAGGCCUCCGUGCCUUAUUCACGCCCCCUGUGUUAAACCUCUGGUUUCUUUGGCAAGCCUGUGCACACUUGUCAAACUUUUUAAACUCCAUUUUAAUGCGGUAAUCGUCUGAGUGGGCUUUUGAAAAACAAAAACUUUCAACAACGGAUCUCUUGGUUCCAGCAUCGAUGAAGAACGCAGC